rnacentral:rRNA from 1 species
GAUGAACGCUGGCGGCGUGCCUAAUACAUGCAAGUCGAGCGAACAGACGAGGAGCUUGCUCCUCUGACGUUAGCGGCGGACGGGUGAGUAACACGUGGAUAACCUACCUAUCAGACUGGGAUCACUUCGGGAAACCGGAGCUAAUACCGGAUAAUAUAUUGAACCGCAUGGUUCAAUAGUGAAAGACGGUUUUGCUGUCACUUAUAGAUGGAUCCGCGCCGCAUUAGCUAGUUGGUAAGGUACCGGCUUACCAAGGCUACGAUGCGUAGCCGACCUGCGAGAGUGAUCGGCCACACUGGAACUGAGACACGGUCCAGACUCCUACGGGAGGCAGCAGUAGGGAAUCUUCCGCAAUGGGCGAAAGCCUGACGGAGCAACGCCGCGUGAGUGAUGAAGGUCUUCGGAGCGUAAAACUCGGUUAUUAGGGAAGAACAAAUGUGUAAGUAACUAUGCACGUCUUGACGGUACCUAAUCAGAAAGCCACGGCUAACUACGUG